rnacentral:rRNA from 1 species
AGUGAACGCUGGCGGCAGGCCUAAUACAUGCAAGUCGAACGGCAGCACAGUGGAGCUUGCUCCAUGGGUGGCGAGUGGCGGACGGGUGAGGAAUACAUGGGAAUCUGCCCAGUCGUGGGGGAUAACGUAGGGAAACUUACGCUAAUACCGCAUGCGCCCUUCGGGGAAAGCCGGGACCGUAAGGCCUGGCGCGAUUGGAUGAGCCCAUGUCGGAUUAGCUAGUUGGCGGGGUAACGGCCCACCAAGGCGACGAUCCGUAGCUGGUCUGAGAGGAUGAUCAGCCACACUGGAACUGAGACACGGUCCAGACUCCUACGGGAGGCAGCAGUAGGGAAUAUUGGACAAUGGGCGCAAGCCUGAUCCAGCCAUGCCGCGUGAGUGAAGAAGGCCCUCGGGUUGUAAAGCUCUUUUGUCCGGAAAGAAAAGCACUGGGUUAAUACCCCGGUGUCCUGACGGUACCCAAAGAAUAAGCACCGGCUAACUUCG